UGCUUGCCCCAAGGAAUAGCAAAAGGG
rnacentral:piRNA from 1 species